GGGACUCAGGUGUAAACAAUCGAUCCUGGCCAAAAUCGAACCAACGCCCAGCCAAUCACGUGGCGCUCCUCCGGUCAUGUGACGUAGACGGUUCACCUCACAACACCGGGGUCAACCACGGCUACCAGCAUGAACGACGGCGCUUCACAACACCGUCUGAACUGACCAGUCUGGUGAAAUUCUGGACUGGAUGGGAGACUCUACCAAGAACUCUCUCCUCAGAAGUAGUGAAUGGCAGAUACCUGACAGCCUCCACCUGCUAUGAGACCUUACAUUCCCAGGACAUUACAAGGACCACACAUCAUUUAAGACUGACAUCCUGGCCUGUAUUUGCACUUGCCAGUCAAGGACCCAUGUAGCGAGGACCCGAUGCCAGGUCCAGUGGACAGACUUCAGACGUCUCUGUGUGUCCCGUCCUGUCCGGUCCUGUUUCUGGUUGCCAGGUUACAGACGCUGCUGCACCCGCACGUUUAAAAAUGUCUACACCUGAAACUCCACCACGUCUAAAGAAGCAAAAACGUUUGCAAAUGUACAGACUGGAGUGGGAAGAGUGGAACCCCUGGCAAUGGAUACAAGGCAAACUGUGUUUUCUGUUGCUCAUGGACUGGCUGAAGUAAGGCAGCAUCAGGAGACAAACAUGGAGGAAAUAUGAAAACAGAGAGAACCCAACCAGCAGGUCACAGUUUAUCAUCAUCUAAUCAUCUCCUGAAGUCCAUAUGGUAAGUGGACAUCAUGAUGAGAUCAGCUAGAUUUCCUACAGUAUAUAGCUGUGAAUUUACCAGAGGAUGCUUAUAAUAAUGCUGAUGUGGCCGUAGACUCUACACUAUUUUAGUGACUCAGUAAAUGCCUAAGUUGGUUAUUAUUUUUUAAAUACUUUUUAGUUUUUAAUAAACAUUUAUUUAAUAGCCUAUAUGUAAUCAAACAUGGCUUUUGCCUAAAAAGAAUAAUAUUUCAUUGCACAAGUAAAAGUAUAGUAAUUUUUAAAACCUUUCAAAUUAUUAUAUGUUGCUAAAAAACAAAAAAACACAAACAAAAAACACAUCAGUAAUAUGUCAAUUAAAAAAGCCUAUAGUAUAGCAUGUUCCCAACAAACGUCAUAGUAUAGCAUGUCAUCCAACAAACGUCCAUAGUAUAGAAUGUCGCUCUAAAAUUGUCAUAGUUUAGCAUGUUGCUCUUAAAACGUCAUAGUAUAGCAUGUCGUCCAACAAACGUCAUAGUAUAGAAUGUCACUCAAAAAAUGUCAGAGUGUAGCCUUUGGUCUAAAAAUGUCAUACUAUAGCAUGUCGCUCCAAAAACGUCAGAGUAUAGCAUGUCGUCCAACAAAUGUCAUGGUAUAGCCUUUGGUCUAAAAACGUCAUAGUAUAGCAUGUCGCUCAGAAAACGUUAUAGCAUGUCGCUCUAAAAACGUCAUAGAAAAGCCUUUAGUCCACAAAACGUUGUUGUGUCCUGGCUGUCUGAAGUAGGUGAGGAGCAACACAAAAACAGUACAAACGCUGGUUUCCAGAGGGUUUGACGAGUAUUUAUUUGAAAGACUAAGUUUACAACAACACAACAUGUGAGGGGGUUAAAAGCAAAUGGGUGUUAAUAAAAUAAAAAUAAAUAAACAGAACUAAAAGUGAACUUCACGUUGACAUUGAUGGGCAUUCCAACCAGGAACAAAGUAAAAGACAAUCAAUACAAAAAAAACCUCUUCCUGUUCACCUCUUAAAACCCAAAACACACCACAGUAGCACCCUAAACUAAAACUACCAAUGGGUUCCCUGUUUUCCUUUGUGAACAAUUCAAAGGUCCCUCUCUAUCUCCCCACAAAUCCACCAACCACUGGAACACAUCUCCAAAGUUCUGCCGGGCCAGCUCAGCUUCCCCUCAGAAGAAGUGCUGCCAGAUGAAGGAGCCUUUUGAGAGGCAGCUGGCAUCGUGAUUGGACUGUACUUUGGUCUGUUCCAAUCCAGCUUCAGCUCCAGAGACGGCAGGCGGGAUGAGUCAACGGAGGCCGGAUGGACGAAGGCAUGCAGCUGAGUACAAUCCAGAAAACAACAGAGGAGGAGUGCAGCGACCCAGGGCCAGAACAACCAGAGUAGCAUCUUAUGUCUCUUAGAAAACAUCAUAGUAGAGCCUUUGGUAUGAAAAAACGCCAUCAUAUACAUCGUAUAUUGUACAAAUAAGUCAAAGGAAAGAGACAUACAUUGUAGAAUUGUAGUAAUUGUGGGCUGACUGAUUUACUGAUUAUCAGUAUUUUUUUUUUUUUUGCUGAUUUAUGGUAAUAAAUACAUUUUAAAAUGCCGCUACUUUGGCUCUGA